CGGAGCGUAGCGCAGCCUGGUAGCGCAUCUGCCUUGGGCGCAGAGGGUCGUGGGUUCAAAUCCCGCCGCUCCGACCA
rnacentral:tRNA from 1 species